AACGAACGCUGGCGGCGCGUCUUAAGCAUGCAAGUCGAACGGCAAGGCAGGUGCUUGCACCUGCCCUAGAGUGGCGGACUGGUGAGUAACACGUGGGUGACAUGCCUUUUAGUUGGGGAUAGCUACUAGAAAUAGUAGAUAAUACCGAAUGUGAUCAAUAUUUAUAGAUGAUGUUGAGGAAAGGAGCUAAGGCUUCGCUAAAAGAUUGGCCCGCGGCCCAUUAGCUAGUUGGUAGGGUAAAGGCUUACCAAGGCUUUGAUGGGUAUCCGGCCUGAGAGGGUGAUCGGACACAUUGGGACUGAGAUACGGCCCAGACUCCUACGGGAGGCAGCAGCUAAGAAUAUUCCACAAUGGACGAAAGUCUGAUGGAGCGACGCCGCGUGGAUGAUGAAGGCCGAAAGGUUGUAAAAUCCUUUUACACUGGAGGAAUAAGCAGAGUAGGGAAUGACUCUGUGAUGACUGUACAGUUUGAAUAAGCAACGGCUAAUUACGUGCCAGCAGCCGCGGUAACACGUAAGUUGCGAGCGUUGUUCGGAAUUAUUGGGCGUAAAGGGUGCGCAGGCUGCAUAGCUAGUCUGAUGUAAAAUGCCUCGGCUUAACCGAGGUCUGCCAUUGGAAACUGUUAUGCUAGAGUACAGGAGGGGGAGUUGGAAUUCCAGGUGUAGGGGUGAAAUCUGUAGAUAUCUGGAGGAACAUCGGUGGCGAAGGCGAACUUCUGGCCAUGUACUGACGCUGAGGCACGAAGGCGUGGGGAGCAAACAGGUUUAGAUACCCUGGUAGUCCACGCAGUAAACGAUGUACACUAGGUGGUGGGAGUUACUCUCAGUACCGUAGCUAACGCAUUAAGUGUACCGCCUGGGGAGUAUGCUCGCAAGGGUGAAACUCAAAGGAAUUGACGGGGGCCCGCACAAGCGGUGGAGCAUGUGGUUUAAUUCGAUGAUACGCGAGGAACCUUACCAGGGCUUGACAUACGAUGGAAUGGUUGAGAGAUCAUCCAGCCCUUCGGGGUCGUCGUACAGGUGCUGCAUGGCUGUCGUCAGCUCGUGCUGUGAAGUGUUGGGUUAAGUCCCGCAACGAGCGCAACCCCUGCUAUCUGUUGCCAUCAAGUAAUGUUGGGGACUCAGAUGGAACUGCCGGUGACAAACCGGAGGAAGGUGGGGACGACGUCAAGUCAUCAUGGCCCUUAUGUCCUGGGCUACACACGUGCUACAAUGGCCGGUACAGAGCGCAGCUAAGCCGCGAGGUGGAGCGAAUCGCAAAAAGCCGGUCUCAGUACGGAUUGGAGUCUGAAACUCGACUCCAUGAAGUUGGAAUCGCUAGUAAUCGCACAUCAGCAUGGUGCGGUGAAUACGUUCCCGGGCCUUGUACACACCGCCCGUCACACCAUCCGAGUUGGGGGCACCCGAAGUCGCUAGUCUAACCGUAAGGAGGACGGCGCCGAAGGUGUGUUUGGCAAGGAGGGUGAAGUCGUAACAAGGUAGCCGUACCGGAAGGUGCGGCUGGAUCACCUCCUU
rnacentral:rRNA from 1 species